GAUGAACGCUGGCGGCGUGCCUAAUACAUGCAAGUCGAGCGAACGGACGAGAAGCUUGCUUCUCUGAUGUUAGCGGCGGACGGGUGAGUAACACGUGGAUAACCUACCUAUAAGACUGGGAUAACUUCGGCAAACCGGAGCUAAUACCGGAUAAUAUUUUGAACCGCAUGGUUCAAAAGUAAAAGACGGUCUUGCUGUCACUUAUAGAUGGAUCCGCGCUGCAUUAGCUAGUUGGUAAGGUAACGGCUUACCAAGGCAACGAUGCAUAGCCGACCUGAGAGGGUGAUCGGCCACACUGGAACUGAGACACGGUCCAGACUCCUACGGGAGGCAGCAGUAGGGAAUCUUCCGCAAUGGGCGAAAGCCUGACGGAGCAACGCCGCGUGAGUGAUGAAGGUCUUCGGAUCGUAAAACUCUGUUAUUAGGGAAGAACAUAUGUGUAAGUAACUGUGCACAUCUUGACGGUACCUAAUCAGAAAGCCACGGCUAACUACGUG
rnacentral:rRNA from 1 species